rnacentral:rRNA from 1 species
UACGUAGGUGGCAAGCGUUGUCCGGAAUUAUUGGGCGUAAAGCGCGCGCAGGCGGCCUCUUAAGUCUGAUGUGAAAGCCCCCGGCUCAACCGGGGAGGGCCAUUGGAAACUGGGAGGCUUGAGUAUAGGAGAGAAGAGGUGGAAUUCCACGUGUAGCGGUGAAAUGCGUAGUAGAUGUGGAGGAACACCAGUGGCGAAGGCGACUCUUUGGCCUAUAACUGACGCUGAGGCGCGAAAGCGUGGGGAGCAAACAGG